GACGAACGCUGGCGGCGUGCUUAACACAUGCAAGUCGAACGGAAAGGCCCUGCUUUUGUGGGGUGCUCGAGUGGCGAACGGGUGAGUAACACGUGAGUAACCUGCCCUUGACUUUGGGAGAACUUCAGGAAACUGGGGCUAAUACCGGAUAGGAGCUCCUGCUGCAUUGUGGGGGUUGGAAAGUUUCGGCGGUUGGGGAUGGACUCGCGGCUUAUCAGCUUGUUGGUGGGGUAGUGGCUUACCAAGGCUUUGACGGGUAGCCGGCCUGAGAGGGUGACCGGCCACAUUGGGACUGAGAUACGGCCCAGACUCCUACGGGAGGCAGCAGUGGGGAAUAUUGCACAAUGGGCGGAAGCCUGAUGCAGCAACGCCGCGUGCGGGAUGACGGCCUUCGGGUUGUAAACCGCUUUCGCCUGUGACGAAGCGUGAGUGACGGUAAUGGGUAAAGAAGCACCGGCUAACUACGUG
rnacentral:rRNA from 1 species